rnacentral:rRNA from 1 species
AGACCCGAAACCCGGUGAUCUAGCCAUGGGCAGGUUGAAGGUUGGGUAACACUAACUGGAGGACCGAACCGACUAAUGUUGAAAAAUUAGCGGAUGACCUGUGGCUGGGGGUGAAAGGCCAAUCAAACCGGGAGAUAGCUGGUUCUCCCCGAAAGCUAUUUAGGUAGCGCCUCGUGAAUUCAUCUCCGGGGGUAGAGCACUGUUUCGGCUAGGGGGCCAUCCCGGCUUACCAACCCGAUGCAAACUGCGAAUACCGGAGAAUGUUAUCACGGGAGACACACGGCGGGUGCUAACGUCCGUCGUGAAGAGGGAAACAACCCAGACCGCCAGCUAAGGUCCCAAAGUCAUGGUUAAGUGGGAAACGAUGUGGGAAGGCCCAGACAGCCAGGAUGUUGGCUUAGAAGCAGCCAUCAUUUAAAGAAAGCGUAAUAGCUCACUGGUCGAGUCGGCCUGCGCGGAAGAUGUAACGGGGCUAAACCAUGCACCGAAGCUGCGGCAGCGACGCUGAUGCGUUGUUGGGUAGGGGAGCGUUCUGUAAGCCUGCGAAGGUGGCCUGUGAGGGUUGCUGGAGGUAUCAGAAGUGCGAAUGCUGACAUAAGUAACGAUAAAGCGGGUGAAAAGCCCGCUCGCCGGAAGACCAAGGGUUCCUGUCCAACGUUAAUCGGGGCAGGGUGAGUCGACCCCUAAGGCGAGGCCGAAAGGCGUAGUCGAUGGGAAACGGGUUAAUAUUCCCGUACUUGGUGUUACUGCGAAGGGGGGACGGAGAAGGCUAUGUUGGCCGGGCGACGGUUGUCCCGGUUUAAGCGUGUAGGUGUGUGUUCCAGGUAAAUCCGGUUCACUUUAACACUGAGGCGUGACGACGAGGCACUACGGUGCUGAAGCAACAAAUGCCCUGCUUCCAGGAAAAGCCUCUAAGCAUCAGGUAACAUCAAAUCGUACCCCAAACCGACACAGGUGGUCAGGUAGAGAAUACCAAGGCGCUUGAGAGAACUCGGGUGAAGGAACUAGGCAAAAUGGUGCCGUAACUUCGGGAGAAGGCACGCUGACACGUAGGUGAAGUGAUUUACUCAUGGAGCUGAAGUCAGUCGAAGAUACCAGCUGGCUGCAACUGUUUAUUAAAAACACAGCACUGUGCAAACACGAAAGUGGACGUAUACGGUGUGACGCCUGCCCGGUGCCGGAAGGUUAAUUGAUGGGGUCAGCGCAAGCGAAGCUCCUGAUCGAAGCCCCGGUAAACGGCGGCCGUAACUAUAACGGUCCUAAGGUAGCGAAAUUCCUUGUCGGGUAAGUUCCGACCUGCACGAAUGGCGUAAUGAUGGCCAGGCUGUCUCCACCCGAGACUCAGUGAAAUUGAACUCGCUGUGAAGAUGCAGUGUACCCGCGGCAAGACGGAAAGACCCCGUGAACCUUUACUAUAGCUUGACACUGAACAUUGAGCCUUGAUGUGUAGGAUAGGUGGGAGGCUUUGAAGUGUGGACGCCAGUCUGCAUGGAGCCGACCUUGAAAUACCACCCUUUAAUGUUUGAUGUUCUAACGUGGACCCGUUACCCGGGUUGCGGACAGUGUCUGGUGGGUAGUUUGACUGGGGCGGUCUCCUCCUAAAGAGUAACGGAGGAGCACGAAGGUUGGCUAAUCCUGGUCGGACAUCAGGAGGUUAGUGCAAUGGCAUAAGCCAGCUUGACUGCGAGCGUGACGGCGCGAGCAGGUGCGAAAGCAGGUCAUAGUGAUCCGGUGGUUCUGAAUGGAAGGGCCAUCGCUCAACGGAUAAAAGGUACUCCGGGGAUAACAGGCUGAUACCGCCCAAGAGUUCAUAUCGACGGCGGUGUUUGGCACCUCGAUGUCGGCUCAUCACAUCCUGGGGCUGAAGUAGGUCCCAAGGGUAUGGCUGUUCGCCAUUUAAAGUGGUACGCGAGCUGGGUUUAGAACGUCGUGAGACAGUUCGGUCCCUAUCUGCCGUGGGCGCUGGAGAACUGAGGGGGGCUGCUCCUAGUACGAGAGGACCGGAGUGGACGCAUCACUGGUGUUCGGGUUGUCAUGCCAAUGGCACUGCCCGGUAGCUAA